ACUUUAACACUGAGGCGUGACGACGAGGCACUACGGUGCUGAAGCAACAAAUGCCCUGCUUCCAGGAAAAGCCUCUAAGCAUCAGGUAACAUCAAAUCGUACCCCAAACCGACACAGGUGGUCAGGUAGAGAAUACCAAGGCGCUUGAGAGAACUCGGGUGAAGGAACUAGGCAAAAUGGUGCCGUAACUUCGGGAGAAGGCACGCUGACAUGUAGGUGAAGUGAUUUACUCAUGGAGCUGAAGUCAGUCGAAGAUACCAGCUGGCUGCAACUGUUUAUUAAAAACACAGCACUGUGCAAACACGAAAGUGGACGUAUACGGUGUGACGCCUGCCCGGUGCCGGAAGGUUAAUUGAUGGGGUCAGCGCAAGCGAAGCUCCUGAUCGAAGCCCCGGUAAACGGCGGCCGUAACUAUAACGGUCCUAAGGUAGCGAAAUUCCUUGUCGGGUAAGUUCCGACCUGCACGAAUGGCGUAAUGAUGGCCAGGCUGUCUCCACCCGAGACUCAGUGAAAUUGAACUCGCUGUGAAGAUGCAGUGUACCCGCGGCAAGACGGAAAGACCCCGUGAACCUUUACUAUAGCUUGACACUGAACAUUGAGCCUUGAUGUGUAGGAUAGGUGGGAGGCUUUGAAGUGUGGACGCCAGUCUGCAUGGAGCCGACCUUGAAAUACCACCCUUUAAUGUUUGAUGUUCUAACGUGGACCCGUUAUCCGGGUUGCGGACAGUGUCUGGUGGGUAGUUUGACUGGGGCGGUCUCCUCCUAAAGAGUAACGGAGGAGCACGAAGGUUGGCUAAUCCUGGUCGGACAUCAGGAGGUUAGUGCAAUGGCAUAAGCCAGCUUGACUGCGAGCGUGACGGCGCGAGCAGGUGCGAAAGCAGGUCAUAGUGAUCCGGUGGUUCUGAAUGGAAGGGCCAUCGCUCAACGGAUAAAAGGUACUCCGGGGAUAACAGGCUGAUACCGCCCAAGAGUUCAUAUCGACGGCGGUGUUUGGCACCUCGAUGUCGGCUCAUCACAUCCUGGGGCUGAAGUAGGUCCCAAGGGUAUGGCUGUUCGCCAUUUAAAGUGGUACGCGAGCUGGGUUUAGAACGUCGUGAGACAGUUCGGUCCCUAUCUGCCGUGGGCGCUGGAGAACUGAGGGGGGCUGCUCCUAGUACGAGAGGACCGGAGUGGACGCAUCACUGGUGUUCGGGUUGUCAUGCCAAUGGCACUGCCCGGUAGCUAAAUGCGGAAGAGAUAAGUGCUGAAAGCAUCUAAGCACGAAACUUGCCCCGAGAUGAGUUCUCCCUGAGACUUAGAGUCUCCUGAAGGAACGUUGAAGACGACGACGUUGAUAGGCCGGGUGUGUAAGCGCAGCGAUGCGUUGAGCUAACCGGUACUAAUGAACCGUGAGGCUUAACCUUACAACGCCGAAG
rnacentral:rRNA from 1 species